CUGCGUGUGGCUCAGCUUGGUAGAGCACUUGCUUGGGGUGCAAGAGGUCGCUGGUUCAAAUCCAGUCACGCAGACCA
rnacentral:tRNA from 3 species